GUACACGCUGUGACUAGCAUAUCAAUAAGCGGAGGAAAAGAAACUAACAAGGAUUCCCCUUAGUAACGGCGAGUGAAGCGGGAAGAGCUCAAAUUUGAAAUCUUAAAGGGUUUCCCUUUACGAAUCGUAGUUUAAAGAAGUGUUUUCUGUUAGAGUUUCGGUAAAAGUUCUUUGGAAUAGGACAUCAUAGAGGGUGAGAAUCCCGUAUUUGACCGUUAUUUCUAGCUUUGUGAUACACUUUCAAAGAGUCGGAUUGUUUGGGAAUGCAGUCCAAAAUGGGUGGUAAAUUUCAUCUAAAGCUAAAUAUUGGCGAGAGACCGAUAGCGAACAAGUACCGUGAGGGAAAGAAGAAAAGAACUUUGAAAAGAGAGUUAAACAGUACGUGAAAUUGUCAAAAGGGAAGCGUUUGACACCAGUGUUGUUUUUCUGAAAAUCAAUUAAAGAACUGUUUAUGCUAAGCUGUUUAGACUUUAUCAGCUAUCUGUUUAGUUUUAGGCUUUUCUUUAAUGCACUUUUCAGUUAACAAGUCAACAUCAAUUUCUUUUGCUGUAAAAAAGCUUGAGGAAGGUGGCUUGAGAUUCGUCUUAAGUGUUUAUAGCCUCUUGCCUAUGCAGUCGGAGAGAUUGAGGUCUGCAGCGUAGAUCCUUCGGGGCUAAAUGCAUUUGUGCUAAGUUAUAGCAUUUUAUAGACAACUUGUUGACUAUGAUUUGUCUUGUAGCUUACUCGCUUAUGUUAUUUUACCUACGCUUAGGAUGUUGAGCGCAUGUCUCUCUCU
rnacentral:rRNA from 1 species